rnacentral:rRNA from 1 species
GACGUAGGGUGCGAGCGUUGUCCGGAAUUACUGGGCGUAAAGAGCUCGUAGGUGGUUUGUCGCGUUGUUCGUGAAAACUCACAGCUCAACUGCGGGCUUGCGGUUGAUACGGGCAGGCUGGAGUUCGGUAGGGGAGACUGGAAUUCCUGGUGUAGCGGUGAAAUGCGCAGAUAUCGGAAGGAACACCAGUGGCGAAAGCGGCUUCCUGGUCCAGCACCGACGUUCAGGCACGAAAGCGUGGGGAGCAAACAGG